rnacentral:lncRNA from 1 species
CAUGGGAAGCCAGUUGCGCCACAUAUUUUUCUGUUGAGCUAAGAUUAUACUUUUAUUUUAAUUUUGAUGGUAAUUGAAUUGUUCUACCUCACAGGAAAAGAGGCAUUUCUGUAUAAGUAUAGAGGGAUUCUUCACCACAAGUUAGAACUGCAAUAACAUCCUCACACUCAGCAUUGCCCAGCUGUUAUAUGCACUUCUAGAAAGAAUGAGAAAAACUGGCAGCAGAGACAAACAAUAUGGAAGCUUUCCUCUUUCUAAACUUUUUAUGAUCUGGAUGAAUUCUGGAACUGAGACCUGUGGCAUUCUGCUGAGUCAGCAAGCUGUGAAUCACCUACCGGGCAUCUGACAUGUACUCCAGGACUUCAGGGAUUUAAGACAAAUUAGACUCAGUUAUUAGAUUCUCAUCUUAGAGUCUGUGUUUGUUUAUAGGCUACUUAGCUACUUUAAGUAGAGAUUUACAAACUGAAAAUUAUUUUGUAUGUAUAUAAAACACAAAUUUACUAAAAUAGACUGGCUAAUGAAGUUAACUCCUGGAAUUACUCUAACUACUGAACAGCUAAGUCUCCUUAAUUGUGGUAAUGAGACACUUGAUGAGAGCCAGAGCACUUCUUGAGGCAUAGGCUGGCCUUUUAAUAUCAUGGGUACACCUGCUGGAAUGAUGUGGUGUUGAAGCACAAAUAGACUCUCAAUAUAUUUUCUAUUUGCCUAUGCUUUCCUUCACACAUAAUUUCUAUGUCAUGACCAGAAUGCUUAGGACUUUGGCUCUGUGAGGAUGUUCGUUGAUGAGUUUGUAAAUAGUAACAUAUGCACAUUCUCUUAAUUUCAAUGUUUUAUAUUUAAAGACUGCAAAGAAGUAAAGAUUUCGUUCUGAGAUUUAAUAUUUUUAAAUUAUUGUUUAUUAUAAAAAUAUUAUUCUCUGAAUGAGCAAAUAAAAC